UACGAAGGGGGCUAGCGUUGCUCGGAAUGACUGGGCGUAAAGGGCGCGUAGGCGGCGGACACAGUCAGAUGUGAAAUUCCCGGGCUCAACCUGGGGGCUGCAUUUGAUACGUGUUUGCUUGAGUGGGGAAGAGGGUCGUGGAAUUCCCAGUGUAGAGGUGAAAUUCGUAGAUAUUAGGAAGAACACCAGUGGCGAAGGCGGCUCACUGGCCCGGUACUGACGCUGAGGCGCGAAAGCGUGGGGAGCAAACAGG
rnacentral:rRNA from 1 species